CGAAACGUGGCGCAACUGGUAGACGCGCAUGAUUAAGGAUCAUGUCGUUGAGGGUUCGAGUCCCUCCGUUUCGACCA
rnacentral:tRNA from 1 species